UAAGAAAGCAUUUGGGGAAUUUAAUGUA
rnacentral:piRNA from 1 species